rnacentral:rRNA from 1 species
GCACGGGGGGCCUACGGGAGGCAGCAGUGGGGAAUAUUGCACAAUGGGCGCAAGCCUGAUGCAGCCAUGCCGSGUGUAUGAAGAAGGCCUUCGGGUUGUAAAGUACUUUCAGCGGGGAGGAAGGUGUUGUGGUUAAUAACCGCAGCAAUUGACGUUACCCGCAGAAGAAGCACCGGCUAACUCCGUGCCAGCAGCCGCGGUAAUA